GAUGAACGCUGGCGGCGUGCCUAAUACAUGCAAGUCGAGCGAACAGACGAGGAGCUUGCUCCUCUGACGUUAGCGGCGGACGGGUGAGUAACACGUGGAUAACCUACCUAUAAGACUGGGAUAACUUCGGGAAACCGGAGCUAAUACCGGAUAAUAUAUUCAACCGCAUGGUUCAAUAGUGAAAGACGGUUUUGCUGUCACUUAUAGAUGGAUCCGCGCCGCAUUAGCUGGUUGGUAAGGUAACGGCUUACCAAGGCGACGAUGCGUAGCCGACCUGGGAGGGUGAUCGGCCACACUGGAACUGAGACACGGUCCAGACUCCUACGGGAGGCAGCAGUAGGGAAUCUUCCGCAAUGGGCGAAAGCCUGACGGAGCAACGCCGCGUGAGUGAUGAAGGUCUUCGGAUCGUAAAACUCUGUUAUUAGGGAAGAACAAAUGUGUAAGUAACUAUGCACGUCUUGACGGUACCUAAUCAGAAAGCCACGGCUAACUACGUG
rnacentral:rRNA from 1 species